AGCUUUGCACAGUGGCAGUAUCAUAGCCAAUGAGGUUUAUCCAAGAUGUGAUUAUUGCCAAUUGAAAAAUUAAAUAUUU
rnacentral:snRNA from 1 species